CCCUUUGGUGGGCACUCCCUCAGACGUCUCUCCCUGUCUUUCCUUGGCUCCCCCCUGCAGGAGUUGUGAUACCUUCAACCUGCUGAGCUGAAGCCUUGCACCGAUGACUUAAAUUCUUUGAGACCCCAGAUACAUAGUGAAGCCACAUACCGUUUUUCCGGGAUUGCCAUUCCUCCACCUGGACAAGAAGAAGAAAGAAGGAAGCUAGCCUCGGUCCCGUUAG
rnacentral:lncRNA from 1 species